rnacentral:rRNA from 1 species
AAGCCAGUGGUGAACUCCACAUACGCAUCCUUUGCUGAGGAUACGGUUAACGGAGCGAAAGCGACGUUCAACCUCAAAAGAAGCAGAGGGGGCUUAGUGGUGGGGUGACUGCGUACCUUUUGUAUAAUGGGUCAGCGACUUAUAUUCUGUAGCAAGGUUAACCGUAUAGGGGAGCCGGAGGGAAACCGAGUCUUAAUUGGGCGUUAAGUUGCAGGGUAUAGACCCGAAACCCGGUGAUCUAGCCAUGGGCAGGUUGAAGGUUGGGUAACACUAACUGGAGGACCGAACCGACUAAUGUUGAAAAAUUAGCGGAUGACCUGUGGCUGGGGGUGAAAGGCCAAUCAAACCGGGAGAUAGCUGGUUCUCCCCGAAAGCUAUUUAGGUAGCGCCUCGUGAAUUCAUCUCCGGGGGUAGAGCACUGUUUCGGCUAGGGGGCCAUCCCGGCUUACCAACCCGAUGCAAACUGCGAAUACCGGAGAAUGUUAUCACGGGAGACACACGGCGGGUGCUAACGUCCGUCGUGAAGAGGGAAACAACCCAGACCGCCAGCUAAGGUCCCAAAGUCAUGGUUAAGUGGGAAACGAUGUGGGAAGGCCCAGACAGCCAGGAUGUUGGCUUAGAAGCAGCCAUCAUUUAAAGAAAGCGUAAUAGCUCACUGGUCGAGUCGGCCUGCGCGGAAGAUGUAACGGGGCUAAACCAUGCACCGAAGCUGCGGCAGCGAACGUAUCACUUAAAGCGAUUCAGCGGGUUACGAUUGACGGAGCGAAGCGACGUCAAAGCGUAUACAAAGUCGAGUCGGUUUAAGGAUACGUUCGUUGGGUAGGGGAGCGUUCUGUAAGCCUGUGAAGGUGGCCUGUGAGGGUUGCUGGAGGUAUCAGAAGUGCGAAUGCUGACAUAAGUAACGAUAAAGCGGGUGAAAAGCCCGCUCGCCGGAAGACCAAGGGUUCCUGUCCAACGUUAAUCGGGGCAGGGUGAGUCGACCCCUAAGGCGAGGCCGAAAGGCGUAGUCGAUGGGAAACGGGUUAAUAUUCCCGUACUUGGUGUUACUGCGAAGGGGGGACGGAGAAGGCUAUGUUGGCCGGGCGACGGUUGUCCCGGUUUAAGCGUGUAGGUGUGUGUUCCAGGUAAAUCCGGUUCACUUUAACACUGAGGCGUGACGACGAGGCACUACGGUGCUGAAGCAACAAAUGCCCUGCUUCCAGGAAAAGCCUCUAAGCAUCAGGUAACAUCAAAUCGUACCCCAAACCGACACAGGUGGUCAGGUAGAGAAUACCAAGGCGCUUGAGAGAACUCGGGUGAAGGAACUAGGCAAAAUGGUGCCGUAACUUCGGGAGAAGGCACGCUGACACGUAGGUGAAGUGAUUUACUCACGGAGCUGAAGUCAGUCGAAGAUACCAGCUGGCUGCAACUGUUUAUUAAAAACACAGCACUGUGCAAACACGAAAGUGGACGUAUACGGUGUGACGCCUGCCCGGUGCCGGAAGGUUAAUUGAUGGGGUCAGCGCAAGCGAAGCUCCUGAUCGAAGCCCCGGUAAACGGCGGCCGUAACUAUAACGGUCCUAAGGUAGCGAAAUUCCUUGUCGGGUAAGUUCCGACCUGCACGAAUGGCGUAAUGAUGGCCAGGCUGUCUCCACCCGAGACUCAGUGAAAUUGAACUCGCUGUGAAGAUGCAGUGUACCCGCGGCAAGACGGAAAGACCCCGUGAACCUUUACUAUAGCUUGACACUGAACAUUGAGCCUUGAUGUGUAGGAUAGGUGGGAGGCUUUGAAGUGUGGACGCCAGUCUGCAUGGAGCCGACCUUGAAAUACCACCCUUUAAUGUUUGAUGUUCUAACGUGGACCCGUAAUCCGGGUUGCGGACAGUGUCUGGUGGGUAGUUUGACUGGGGCGGUCUCCUCCUAAAGAGUAACGGAGGAGCACGAAGGUUGGCUAAUCCUGGUCGGACAUCAGGAGGUUAGUGCAAUGGCAUAAGCCAGCUUGACUGCGAGCGUGACGGCGCGAGCAGGUGCGAAAGCAGGUCAUAGUGAUCCGGUGGUUCUGAAUGGAAGGGCCAUCGCUCAACGGAUAAAAGGUACUCCGGGGAUAACAGGCUGAUACCGCCCAAGAGUUCAUAUCGACGGCGGUGUUUGGCACCUCGAUGUCGGCUCAUCACAUCCUGGGGCUGAAGUAGGUCCCAAGGGUAUGGCUGUUCGCCAUUUAAAGUGGUACGCGAGCUGGGUUUAGAACGUCGUGAGACAGUUCGGUCCCUAUCUGCCGUGGGCGCUGGAGAACUGAGGGGGGCUGCUCCUAGUACGAGAGGACCGGAGUGGACGCAUCACUGGUGUUCGGGUUGUCAUGCCAAUGGCACUGCCCGGUAGCUAAAUGCGGAAGAGAUAAGUGCUGAAAGCAUCUAAGCACGAAACUUGCCCCGA